rnacentral:rRNA from 1 species
AUUGAACGCUGGCGGCAGGCCUAACACAUGCAAGUCGAACGGCAGCGGGGGAUAGCUUGCUAUCCUGCCGGCGAGUGGCGGAUGGGUGAGUAAUGCAUGGGGAGCUGCCCAAUCGAGGGGGAUAACAACUGGAAACGGUUGCUAAUACCGCAUACGCCCUGCGGGGGAAAGGUGGGGACCUACGGGCCUACCGCGAUUGGAUGCACCCAUGUGGGAUUAGCUGGUUGGUGAGGUAACGGCUCACCAAGGCGACGAUCUCUAGCUGGUCUGAGAGGAUGACCAGCCACACUGGAACUGAGACACGGUCCAGACUCCUACGGGAGGCAGCAGUGGGGAAUAUUGCACAAUGGGGGAAACCCUGAUGCAGCCAUGCCGCGUGUGUGAAGAAGGCCUUCGGGUUGUAAAGCACUUUCAGUGGGGAGGAAGGGGAGCAAGCUAAUAACUUGCUUCAUUGACGUUACCCACAGAAGAAGCACCGGCUAACCCCGUGCCAGCCGCCGCGGUAAAAC